rnacentral:rRNA from 1 species
AUGGCUCAGAUUGAACGCUGGCGGCAGGCCUAACACAUGCAAGUCGAGCGGUAACAGAGAGAAGCU